rnacentral:misc_RNA from 1 species
UACGAGGGGUGCAAACGUUGUUCGGAAUUACUGGGCGUAAAGAGCGUGUAGGCGGUAUGUUAAGUCAGUUGUUAAAUUCCUUGGCUCAACCAAGGGUCAGCGAUUGAAACUGGCACACUAGAGGGCAAGAGAGAGGUGUGGAAUUCUCGGAGUAGCGGUAAAAUGCGUAGAUCUCGAGAGGAACACCGAAGGCGAAGGCAGCACCUUGGCUUGUACCUGACGCUGAGGCGCGAAAGCGUGGGGAGCAAACAGG